rnacentral:rRNA from 1 species
AUUCCAGCUCCAAUAGCGUAUAUUAAUGUUGUUGCAGUUAAAAAGCUCGUAGUUGGAUUUCUGGUGGGAGUGGCCGGUCCGCCGUAAGGUGUGUACUUGGUUGUCUCCCGUCAUCCUUGUGGGAACUGCUCUGGCAUUAAGUUGUCGGGGUUAGGGAACACAUCGUUUACUGUGAAAAAAUUAGAGUGUUUAAAGCAGGCUUAUGCCGUUGAAUACAUUAGCAUGGAAUAAUAAGAUAGGACUUUGGCGUCUAUUUUGUUGGUUUGCACACCAAGGUAAUGAUUAAUAGGGAUAGUUGGGGGUAUUCGUAUUUAAUUGUCAGAGGUGAAAUUCUUGGAUUUAUGAAAGACGAACUUCUGCGAAAGCAUUUACCAAAGAUGUUUUCAUCA